GUUUGAUCCUGGCUCAGGAUGAACGCUAGCGGCAGGCUUAACACAUGCAAGUCGAGGGGUAUAGUUCUUCGGAACUAGAGACCGGCGCACGGGUGCGUAACGCGUAUGCAAUCUACCUUUCACAGAGGGAUAGCCCAGAGAAAUUUGGAUUAAUACCUCAUAGUAUAAUGAGUUGGCAUCAACACAUUAUUAAAGUUACAACGGUGAAAGAUGAGCAUGCGUCCCAUUAGCUAGAUGGUAAGGUAACGGCUUACCAUGGCUACGAUGGGUAGGGGUCCUGAGAGGGAGAUCCCCCACACUGGUACUGAGACACGGACCAGACUCCUACGGGAGGCAGCAGUGAGGAAUAUUGGACAAUGGGCGCAAGCCUGAUCCAGCCAUGCCGCGUGCAGGAUGACGGUCCUAUGGAUUGUAAACUGCUUUUGUACAGGAAGAAACACUGGUUCGUGAACCAGCUUGACGGUACUGUAAGAAUAAGGAUCGGCUAACUCCGUGCCAGCAGCCGCGGUAAUACGGAGGAUCCAAGCGUUAUCCGGAAUCAUUGGGUUUAAAGGGUCCGUAGGCGGUUUAGUAAGUCAGUGGUGAAAGCCCAUCGCUCAACGGUGGAACGGCCAUUGAUACUGCUAAACUUGAAUUAUUAGGAAGUAACUAGAAUAUGUAGUGUAGCGGUGAAAUGCUUAGAGAUUACAUGGAAUACCAAUUGCGAAGGCAGGUUACUACUAAUGGAUUGACGCUGAUGGACGAAAGCGUGGGUAGCGAACAGGAUUAGAUACCCUGGUAGUCCACGCCGUAAACGAUGGAUACUAGCUGUUGGAAGCAAUUUCAGUGGCUAAGCGAAAGUGAUAAGUAUCCCACCUGGGGAGUACGUUCGCAAGAAUGAAACUCAAAGGAAUUGACG
rnacentral:rRNA from 1 species